rnacentral:tRNA from 1 species
GCCCAGGUAGUUUAAAAAAAACAAUAAACUGUGACCUUAUAGAUGUAUCCUUAUACCCUGAGCA